rnacentral:hammerhead_ribozyme from 1 species
AUUCAGCUGACGAGUCAAAAUAGGACGAAAUGCAUGUCCAGGAU